AACAAAUUACAGUCAUAAGACUCCGUUCACUUUUACCAUCUUGCACUUGUUUUGAUGGCAAAUAAGGAUCUAGUUUUCAGGGGGGUGUUUUAGGGAUUUUUGUUUGUUUUGAGGUUGGCUUUUUUUCAGUGAAAAUUCAUAUUCCCUUCUGGCAUUCACCAGACUGCAACUUAACAACAGAGAUCUUUGCAAAGACCCCAUUAUCUUUUUCUCAUUUAUUGGUGUGACUUUGCCCUCUCUCUGCACAGGCAAAGCCUUUUACAAGGCUAAUGAAACUGCAUCCCUUGGUAUAAAUGUAGUCAUGACUUUAUUUCACAUGACAUCCAGCCCUACAGUAUCACAGCAGUCCACAGCAGGUAAGUUGAUAUUAAUUUAUUUUUGUACUGUUAUUGCAUAAUUCUGAUAUACU
rnacentral:lncRNA from 1 species